rnacentral:rRNA from 1 species
CCUACGGGAGGCAGCAGUGAGGAAUAUUGGUCAAUGGGCGGGAGCCUGAACCAGCCAAGUCGCGUGAGGGAAGACGGUCCUAUGGAUUGUAAACCUCUUUAGGCGGGGAGCAAUGCCGGGCACGGGUGCCCGGAGGGAGAGUACCCGCAGAAUAAGCAUCGGCUAACUCCGUGCCAUCAGCCGCGGUAAUACGGAGGAUGCGAGCGUUAUCCGGAUUGAUUGGGUUUAGAGGGUGCGUAGGCGGAUUUUUAAGUCAGCGGUAAAAUGUCCGGGCUCAACCCGGGCCGGCCGUUGAAACUGGGGAUCUUGAGUGGGCGAGAAGUAUGCGGAAUGCGUGGUGUAGCGGUGAAAUGCAUAGAUAUCACGCAGAACUCCGAUUGCGAAGGCAGCAUACCGGCGCCCGACUGACGCUGAGGCACGAAAGCGUGGGGAUCGAACAGGAUUAGAUACCCGAGUAGUC